rnacentral:rRNA from 1 species
GAUGAACGCUGGCGGCGUGCUUAACACAUGCAAGUCGAACGGAAAGGCUCCUUCUUGCAGUGGUACUCGAGUGGCGAACGGGUGAGGAACACGUGGGUGAUCUGCGCUGCACUUCGGGAUAAGCCUGGGAAACUGGGUCUAAUACCGGAUAGGACGAUGGAUUGGAUGCCACGGGGGAAAGUUUUUCGGUGUGGGACGAGCUGGCGGCCUAUCAGCUUGUUGGUGGGGUAAUGGCCUACCAAGGCGUCGACGGGUAGCCGGCCUGAGAGGGUGUACGGCGACACUGAGACUGAGGUACGGCACAGACUCCUACGGGUGGCAGCAGUGGGGAAUAUUGCACAAUCGGCGCCAGCCUGAUGCAGAGAGGCCGCGUGGGGGAUGACGGCCUUGGCGUUGUCGAAUCCUUUUGCUCGGGACGAGGCGUUUUGUGACGGUACCUGGAGAAGAAGCACCGGCUAACUACGUG